GAGAGAGAGAGAGAGAGAGAGCUUAAAUAACAAAAUGACUUUCCAAUAAUACUCAAACCUAUAGGGUUUCAAUGAUUUCCCAAACCCCUGUUUCAAUAUGACCCCAGCUAUUAGAGGACCCGAAUCUGUUAGUUUCAUGCAGUGUGUUUGUGGCUACACAUGAAGUUUUAGGAUAACAGAGAUAACUAUAAAUUUUUGGUUAAUUUGUAACGUAUGGAUGAUAUAUUUAUUAAAUUGCCAGGGUUUCCUAACCAAAUAAAAAUGCAAGCAUCAGCGAAUGAAUGUGAAUUCCGAAUUGCUGACUCUGAGCUUUGGACUUAAAAGUGCACUUCUUAGGUAAUUUUGAGGUGCUAAGACUGAUUCAAGCUAAGUGUAAAUUGCAGCUCCUCAAAACUAGCUUAUACAUCACAGGGGGCGGAUUUACCUUGGGGGCAAUGGGGGCACUUGCCCCCACUGCCCCUUGAAAAUCCAUCAUGUAGGUAGUUAUUUUUAAUAUUGUUCCAAUAAAUUUAACAAUUUUGCCCCAUUAAAUUUAUUAAUUUCACCCCCAUCUGAUUUUGCUCCCACUAAAUUUAUAAAAUUUUGCCCCCAUAGUUCACUUAAUCUUUUAUGUUGUUUAUUUAUUUAAUUGUACUUAGAUUAAAUACAAAUCAUUAUUUUAAUUUCAGAUAGAAUGCUACUAAAACUUAGAUAAUAAGUAGAAUUACCACUAAAUUAGAUUAAUUUAUUCAUCGUAAUUAUAUUUUUGCCAGGUUCAAUCUGAUAAGUAACAAUCUCCAUCCUUAAACUAAAGAGAAAAGACUUUCUUUGUAUAUUAUAAAAUCUUUAUAUUUAUUACAUAUUAGUUUUUCUCUCAAUUAUAUUUCCAACAAAAGAACUUUCUCUAAAGAAAAAUGCAUGACCGUUAAUUUCACUUUCAUGUGAAAAUUCAAACAGUUAAUUAAAAAAAAUAAUAAAUAGCUUAUUAAGUAACAUAUAUAUGUAUGAUGGAAUCAAAAAAAUUGGAAAUUCAACAAUGUAUAAAAAAUAUAAAAAAUUCUAAUAAGCUUUAUUACUUUUAUUCUUGAUAUUUUUCAUAUUUAUUUUUAUUUGAAUACAUGUAUAUAGUGUCUCUAUUUAUAAAUGUUUAUGUGUACUAAACACAUAUUGCCACACUGUCUAAAUUUUCUGGAUCUGCCCCUCUACAUCACAAAUCUGAGUCAUUUCAAUGUGUCAUGAGAUACCAGUGAGAACAAGACAAGAUCAUGUGAUAGCUGAAAUGCAAAAUCUUCUAUUCUAAGUACAAAAGAAUUUGACAAAAUUAACUAACUUGCAAAAUUGACAUCAUUCUGAAUCUUUGCCAAUAACUAAAACCAAUAAACCUCUUCUUCAAUUAGUUUGACUGUCAAACUUUGACAGCAGCAUUCAAUAUAUAUAUAACUCAAGUAUGCAGAGGAACUCCACAAUAAAAGAAAGGGGAAAAGAAACCUUACCCAAAGGGUGCUCCUCCCAAAUCCAUUGAAAUGGUACUGCAAAAUUAAAAAUGACGAUUACGCAAUCAUCUGAAAAUUAUUUAAACUACCCAGACACCAAAAACAAUAUCUAAGCCUCCUAAAAAUAAAAAUAUAGAACCUAAACAAGUUCAUGUCAUCAUAGAAGACCAAAAAGAUCAAUAAACAAUACAAGUCAGGCGCAAGCUUCAAAAGCAAAUGACCAAAAACCUGUAUUAAAUCUUCCAAUUGAGCAACAAUUUCUUUAAUUGCCCAUAUGCCCGCAUUACUCCCUUUCAAUAAUUAAUUAGAAACGAAUAAAACUCAAUCCAGCCCAGCCCAACUAAUCCUUCAAACAGCUCCUUGAAGCAAUAACAACCAAGAAUGAAUAAGACUCUAAACCAAAAUAAUAAUAAUACAAAAACCGAAUAAUCAAGCAAAGCACAGUUUCAAGCAAAAGCAAGACAAAGGAUAAAGAAGCAUACUUUAAAAAACCCCAAAAAUUCUGAGAAACAAGCCAACGAGCAGUUGCAGCAGCGUUAUCUGGGUCUGGUUUCUUGAGCACUAACAUCCUUCCCUGUGUAUAAAGCAGGCAGCAUUG
rnacentral:misc_RNA from 1 species